GAUGAACGCUAGCGGCAGGCUUAACACAUGCAAGUCGAGGGGUAUAGUUCUUCGGAACUAGAGACCGGCGCACGGGUGCGUAACGCGUAUGCAAUCUACCUUUUACAGGGGGAUAGCCCGGAGAAAUUUGGAUUAAUACCCCAUAGUAUGUUAGAGUGGCAUCAUUUUAACAUUAAAGUUCCAACGGUAAAAGAUGAGCAUGCGUCCCAUUAGCUAGAUGGUAAGGUAACGGCUUACCAUGGCGACGAUGGGUAGGGGUCCUGAGAGGGAGAUCCCCCACACUGGUACUGAGACACGGACCAGACUCCUACGGGAGGCAGCAGUGAGGAAUAUUGGACAAUGGGCGCAAGCCUGAUCCAGCCAUGCCGCGUGCAGGAAGACGGUCCUAUGGAUUGUAAACUGCUUUUGUACAGGAAGAAACACUCCCUCGUGAGGGAGCUUGACGGUACUGUAAGAAUAAGGAUCGGCUAACUCCGUGCCAGCCGCCGCUGUAAAAC
rnacentral:rRNA from 1 species